rnacentral:lncRNA from 11 species
CCCAGCUCCAUUUCCUUAUGCCAACCAGCAAGCAGCCUUGGUUUCAAUUUAAAUACAAGCUUCUUUCACUUUGCAAAAGUUGCUUAAUACUUGUACUGAAAAUUAAUCUGACUCUGGGAGGCUUCCGAAUGUUACAGAACCUUAACGAAAAUUAUUGACUGUGUCCUCCCAUCAGCUUCACUCAGACCAAUCCCUGGCUGCCAUUCCCCCCGCCAGACAAUCCUGGCAUGAAUCCUAACUAGUCUCUUCUCUGGCCAAACGGGAAAGAGGUGAGAAGUUUGAAUAGCUUUCAGAACUGUAUAUCUUGUAUUUCUCGGUUUGUUAAUGCUUGUACAUCUUGAAGCAAAAUUGCUGUACUUGCAUCCCUUUUGACCAAAUUAAAAUAAACCACUGUGGCUUGCUAUCCACUUGGUAAAUUGGUUUCUUUGACCUGGUCUAUCUGGUUUCUAACAUAUGGGCUCGCCAGGCAUGA